rnacentral:rRNA from 1 species
UACGGGGGGGUAAGCGUUGUUCGGAAUUACUGGGCGUAAAGGGCUCGUAGGCGGCCAACUAAGUCAGACGUGAAAUCCCUCAGCUUAACUGGGGAACUGCGUCUGAUACUGGAUGGCUUGGAUUCGGGAGAGGAAUGCGGAAUUCCAGGUGUAGCGGUGAAAUGCGUAGAUAUCUGGAGGAACACCGGUGGCGAAGGCGGCAUUCUGGACCGACAUUGACGCUGAGGAGCGAAAGCCAGGGGAGCAAACGGGAUUAGAUACCCCGGUAGUCCUGGCCCUAAACGAUGAAUGCUUGGUGUGGCGGGUAUCGAUCCCUGCCGUGCCGAAGCUAACGCAUUAAGCAUUCCGCCUGGGGAGUACGGUCGCAAGGCUGAA